ensembl:lncRNA
AACUGUCUGCCAGAAAUGAAGGACUUCCUAAAAAACUUUCCCUUUAGGGAAUUCAGUGUCUUUAUCACCAUCGUCGGCAGUUUUACUUAUAAUGUUUUACUUGAAAGAGAUGUGGUCUGCACUUGCAUAGAUGUCGAUACAGACUGCUGGAUAUACCUUUUUAUGCCGGUGUUUAUAAUUUUUUUCUUAAUACUUUGGACAGACAAGAUAUUACAGAGAACCUGCAACUACUAUAUAUUUGUAUGUUCAGAAAAGCUAGCUUUUUUCCGAGCUCGGUGUCUACAAAAGCUAGCUUCUUUGCGAGCUAGGUGUCUAAAAAAGCUAGCUUUUUUGCGAGCUUGUUGUCUAAAAAAGCCUGAUAAACCUGAUGUGGAGCAUCAACCACUUGAUGAGCAGCAAGAUCAACAAAAGAAUUCAAACUGCAGGGGAGCAUUAUGUGGUGUUUUCUGGAGUCGCAUUAUCAAGGCACUUUGUAUUGGUGUGCUGUGGGCUAUUUCUGUGCUCAUCGAUGGAGACUGGUAUGUUUGCUGUCAGAAUGAUCAUUCUGAAAAGCAAUCACAGUUAGCCUGCAAAGAUAAAACCAACAUGACACCUGAAGAAAAUGUGGACAUCAAUACCCUGAAAAACAAAUCAAGAAUGCUGUAGGAGAGAGAAAUACAUAGUGGAAGAGACAUAAAGAGGAACGCGGAGAGGAAGGGCAGCACGCACAGGGUGUGCAGAAACACUACAGCGGGGAGCACGAACACGG